UAAGGAAUAUUGGUCAAUGGACGCAAGUCUGAACCAGCCAUGCCGCGUGGAGGAUGAAGGUCCUCUGGAUUGUAAACUUCUUUUAUCUGGGAAGAAAUGGUUGCUUUCUAGCGAUCUUGACGGUACCAGAUGAAUAAGCACCGGCUAACUCCGUGCCAGCAGCCGCGGUAAU
rnacentral:rRNA from 1 species